rnacentral:rRNA from 1 species
UACGUAGGGUGCGAGCGUUGUCCGGAAUUAUUGGGCGUAAAGAGCUUGUAGGCGGUCUGUCGCGUCUGCUGUGAAAAUCCGGGGCUCAACCCCGGACUUGCAGUGGGUACGGGCAGACUAGAGUGCGGUAGGGGAGACUGGAAUUCCUGGUGUAGCGGUGGAAUGCGCAGAUAUCAGGAGGAACACCGGUGGCGAAGGCGGGUCUCUGGGCCGAUACUGACGCUGAGGAGCGAAAGCGUGGGGAGCGAACAGG